UCAGGUAGGAGGACCCGCUGAACUUAAGCAUAUCAAUA
rnacentral:rRNA from 1 species